GAUGAACGUUGGCGGCGUGCCUAAUACAUGCAAGUCGAACGAAGACUGUAGUAAUACUGUCUUAGUGGCGAACGGGUGAGUAACGCGUGGGUGACCUGCCCCGAAGUGUGGGAUAACAGUCCGAAAGGAUUGCUAAUACUGCAUAAUAUCCAAGAGAUUAGAUGCUUUUGGAUUAAAGGAGUAAUUCGCUUCGGGAGGGGCCCGCGUCCCAUCAGCUAGUUGGUAAGGUAAUGGCUUACCAAGGCGAUGACGGGUAGGGGACCUGAGAGGGUGGCCCCCCACAAUGGAACUGAAACACGGUCCAUACACCUACGGGUGGCAGCAGUAGGGAAUAUUAGUAAUGGGCGAAAGCCUGAACUAGCAACGCCGCGUGUGCGAAGAAGGCCUUCGGGUCGUAAAGCACUUUUUGAGAGGAUGAGGAAGGACGGUACGUCUCAGAAUAAGUCUACGGCUAACUACGUGCCAGCAGCCGGGUAAACAUACUGUA
rnacentral:rRNA from 1 species